AAAAACCACAUCAAUUCACUUGUUAACAGUGAAUGAGUGAGAGGGACCCAGGCAAAUCUCAGUGUGACUCCCACAAAGCUGCAGGGAGCAUACACCUUCAGUGUCUUCUGUAACAUGGACCACAGGGCAAAAGUCUUGAUGAAGGCAGUGAGGGAUCAGGACAGAUGUGAGCAGGCAGGCAGGUUCAUCUGCCUAAAAGGACAGACGAUGUGCAGGAGAGACCAUCAGAAAGAAUGCUGGAAUGGAUAAUUUUCUUUUAUUUGAAAUGUAUUUAUUUAAAAAUGCUACCUACAUUUGGUAAUGUUAUAUUUUCCCAACAGCUUUUCUCACUAUUAACACACUGCUGCAUGCAGUCAGGUGGUGAACAAUUUUGGUUUGUCCCAUUACUGGCAUUCACUUUAAUCACUUUAUUAAAGGGUGUCUGCCAGACAUCCACUGUGAAAUUACACUAUUUCCCUUUGCAGUUAAUGGCUAGGUGGGAAGGUACUUUGACAUUAUGCAAAUGUCCCAUUCCUCAUUAAAAAGAAAGCACCAUUUGUGUGCAUACUCUAA